rnacentral:rRNA from 1 species
UACAGAGGUCCCAAGCGUUGUUCGGAUUCACUGGGCGUAAAGGGUGCGUAGGCGGUCGCGCAAGUUUGAUGUGAAAUCUCCAGGCUCAACCUGGAAAUGGCAUUGAAUACUGCGUGGCUCGAGGGUUGGAAGGGAGACUGGAAUGCUUGGUGUAGCAGUGAAAUGCGUAGAUAUCAAGCGGAACACCAGUGGCGAAGGCGAGUCUCUGGACAAUUCCUGACGCUGAGGCACGAAAGCCAGGGGAGCAAACGGG